GCCAGUGUGACAUAGUGGUUUGUGUCUGGACUAUGACUCUGGAGACCAAGGUUUGAAUCCCUACUUGGCCA